rnacentral:lncRNA from 1 species
CAGCGCAACAUACCUGCUAGAUGUUACAAUAACCCAAGUCUAUGAUGAUGACCUGAGUCAUUCAUAGAAGAUAUACCCAUUAAGGACAUCAUCUUCAUAAAACUAGUUAUAUGCAACACGUCCUAUGUCAAAAUGUUUCUCAACAUGUGUUAACCUAUCAAACACACUCUCAACUAAUCUCCACCCAGGUCAGGAAAAUGUGGUUGAGUGUCACUUCCUGAGUCUGGCUGGUACUGCAAAUAUAAAUUCAACGUUUUUUCAAACACAUCUCACCCCCAGACCUGCCAUUGGCAUGCACAUCUUUAACCACAAACCACGAUUGAAAAUGAGAAAGAAAACUCUCCUCUAGCUGGGCGCUUCAUAGGACUAGCCAGGCAUGCUUAUCAAAUACUUCAUCAGUUGGAAAUUCAACAAAAUAAAGUAUGUGUGCAGCUACAUCUGACGUUGAUUCUUUAUCUCAUUCAAAACCACACAGUGCUGACAGCAACAUCCUUCCUCUCAGCAUUCAUGCUUCUGCUACCACCCAGGGGCACUGAGUUCACAGCCAGCUCACAGAAGGGCCAUGAGUGUUGACGAACACUUGGAUUCAUGCAAUCACCACCACAAUCAAGACACAGAGCAGCUCCAUCGCUCCCAAAAUUUUUCUCAGUGUCACUUUGCAGUCAGCGCCUCCUUCUAGUCCUGAUCAUUCUCAACCCCCACAAUCACUGGUCUGCUCUCCGCUACUAUAGUUCUGCCUUCUCGAGGAUGUCAUAUAAAUAGAAUCAUACAGUUGGUGGCCUUUUGGUGCGGCAGCUCUCACAUUUGGGUUUCAUCCAUAUUGCUGCAUAUAUCAAGGUAGUUACCUUUAUUGCUGAGUAGUAUUCCAUGGUGUAGAUUUACCAGUUAGUUUAUUCCUUCACCAUCUGAAGGACAUGUGAAUUGGUAAACAUGGCUUUUACUUGUUGAAUGAUACUCCAUUCUACAAAUAUUCUAAAACCCAUGUAAAUAGUUCUGAUAUGGUUUGGCUCUGUAUCCCCACCUAAAUUUCAUAUUGAAUUGUGAUCCCCAGUGUUGAAGGUGGGGUCUGGUGGGAGGUGAUUGGAUCACGGAGGUGGUUUCGGAUGGUUUAGCACCAUCACCUAGUGCUGUCUCAUGACAGAGUUCUCACGAGAUCUGGUGGUUUGAAAGCAUGUAGCACCUCCCCCUUCACUCCCUUCCUCCUUCUCUGGCCAUGUAAGACAUGACUGCUUCCCUUUUGCCUUCCAUGAUGAUCGUAAGUUUCCUGAGGCCUCCCCAGCCAUGCUUCCUGUAAGCCUGUGGAACAGAGAGGUGAAGCCAGCUGGACUUCCUAGGUCGAGAGGGGACUUGGAGAGCUUUUCUGUCUAGCUAAAGGAUUGUAAAUGCACCGAUCAGCACUCUGUGUCUAGCUAAAGGAUUGUAAAUGCACCAGUCAGCACUCUGUAAAAACACACCAGUCAGCACUCUGUGUCCAGCUAAAGGAUUGUAAACGCACCAAUCAGCACUCUGUGUCUAGCUAAAGGAUUGUAAAUGCACCAGUCAGCACUCUGUAAAAACACACCAGUCAGCACUCUGUGUCCGGCUAAAGGAUAGUAAACACACCAAUCAGCACUCUGUGUCUAGCUAAAGGAUUGUAAAUGCAUCAAUCAGCACUCUGUAAAAUGGACCAAUCAGCGCUCUGUAAAAUGGACCAAUCAGCAGGAUGUGGGUGGGACCAAAUAAGGGAAUAAAAGCUGGCCACCGAGCCAGCAGUGGCAACCAGCUUGGGUCCCCUUCCACAUUGUGGAAGCUUUGUUUUUUCGCUCUUCACAAUAAAUCUUGCUGCUGCUCACUCUUUGGGUCCGCACUACCUUUAAUAGCUGUAACACUUGCCGCGAAGGUCCGCAGCUUCAUUCUUGAAGUCAGCGAGACCACGAACCCACCAGAAGGAAGAAACUCCAGACACAUCUGAAGGAACAAACUCUGAACACACCAUCUUUAAGAGCUGUAACACUCACUGCAAAAGUCCAUGGCUUCAUUCUUGAAGUCAGCAAGACCAAAAACCCAGAGGUUGUCACAAUUUUGUCACAAUUCUGGACACAGAACU